ensembl:miRNA
AACCCGUAGAUCCGAACUUGUGAUGAUAGUCCACACAAGCUUGUGUCUAUAGGUAUG